UGGGGAAUUUUCCGCAAUGGGCGAAAGCCUGACGGAGCAAUACCGCGUGAGGGAAGAAGGUCUGUGGAUUGUAAACCUCUUUUGUUAGGGAAGAUAAUGACGGUACCUAACGAAUAAGCAUCGGCUAACUCCGUGCCAGCAGCCGCGGUAAGACGGAGGAUGCAAGCGUUAUCCGGAAUUAUUGGGCGUAAAGCGUACGUAGGCUGUUUCAUAAGUCUGUUGUCAAAGCGCGAGGCUUAACCUUGUAGAGGCAAUGGAAACUGUGAGGCUAGAGAGAGAUAGGGGCAGGAGGAAUUCCAGGUGUAGCGGUGAAAUGCGUAGAUAUCUGGAAGAACACCAGUGGCGAAAGCGUCCUGCUGGAUCUCAACUGACGCUGAAGUACGAAAGCUAGGGGAGCGAAUG
rnacentral:rRNA from 1 species